rnacentral:tRNA from 3 species
GCCAGCAUAGCUCAGUUGGUAGAGCUACUGAUUUGUAAUCAGUAGGUCGGGGGUUCGAGUCCCUCUGCUGGCUCGA